GCUCGCUGCUGGCAGAGUCAUACCGCUGCCAACCAUAUCCUGAGCCAACCAUAUCUUGCAGUGCAGACCCUUUUUCCAAGCGGUUCAGCGGAGCAUGCAUAGCACAAAUGGCCAUUUUGAGUCGUUUGGUGACAUGAUGAUUCGAGGAGCAUUACCGGCAAACCCACCUUCAGUUUUAACUUAUGGUCUGGGAUUCCUGGGGACGUGAAGGUGUUGAGGAACUCAGUAGGCUGCAUGUUCAUCAUGAUGUUCGUGUUUGUCGUGGCCUUGCACACUGUGUCCAGGCUUAGAUAUGCAAGUGCAUUUGGAGAUAUAAGGGACUACUAAUGGAGAUGUCACAUACAGUACAGCUGGAGAUCAAUGUUAUUUACUUGGAAGGGCACUAUAAAUAAAAAAUUGUUCAACCAUGUUGCUCUUUUUGUAGCUUUCACAUCACUAUCAUGGUAGUAUCAGGAUGCAUGAAAAAAGUGAUUUAUAGUUCAGUAUCAGAAGAGUUUUGAGAUAGAAUAUUAGAAGCAAGGUUGAGAUGAGAUCAAAAUGCAGGGAAAAACUUGAAGAAUUGCAUGUGGAUAUUACCCAAGGUUGAUGGUGCCGAUGCCGUGUCUUCAGUUUGUUGGGCGUUUCUUUGUGCCUUCGAUCGUUUCAGCAUCGCGGGCGUAUAUUGGAUGCAAGUUGCUGGAGUUGUUGCCAUGCCUUCAAUUUGUUGGCCGUCUCGUGCGUUUGAUUGUCCUGACAUCUUGAAUAAGGAUCUAUUGAGAAAGUGCAUCAUGGGUCAUUUAGAAAUGUUUGUCUUGUAAAAAUAUAGUUGAAAUUAUGUGAUAUAAGCAGAAGGGAUGAGUGUGUGACCAUA